UCGCCCCCGACCCCGAAACCCUAGCCACUGCCGGCCGAUUCGGCCAUCGCCGGCCUCGGCGAGCAUUGCCGUCGGUCGAGGUGGCGCCGCCACGGCCGUCUCCAUCCGCUCCCCUUCGCCGCUUCUUCACCUCUGUCGUUUGGCUGAUGCGGUCUCGCCUCGGACUCCGCCCCGGCUUAUUACCGCCGCCGCGCGUCCACGCGGCACUGGCCGGACUUCCGCCGGCCCUUCAACUGCCGUGACGCCGCCACUAGCAUCGACACGCCCCUGGCCAAACCAAGCUGUGGAAUCGGCUUGGUUGCCAGCGCGGUGCCGCGCUCCGCCUGCUGCUCCCCAAUGGCGACCCCGCCUCCUCGUCGACCACGAGCCCGAGCUCGAGCUCCUGGUGGUUAUGUGGUGUUAGUUGCUGCUGCGGUGGUGAUGGGGUACUGCAGUACUGCUGCUCUGAUGCUUACUUCAGCUGCGACCCCGAGGUCGGCCGGACGGUGCCGUAGGCGCAACCCCGGCGUCCUCUGCCUUGCCUGCCUCCUCUACAGGGCACUGUGAGCUACUCCUCUCUUUCUCUAGGCCAUAAAUUUGGUGGUCAUGAAUUUGCGUGUGCUCGAACUGGUUGCUGUAUGUCAAUGGGGAUCAUCAUAUGAUGCAAUGUGAACCUGCUGCUAACUUAUUACUAAUAAUAAUGCCUCCGUUUGGAUGAUUUGAUCAUCCCAAAUUACAUGGGUGUGGCCUGAUUUUAUAUCCUGAUGAAACUGAAGCGUAAUAAUGUUGUUAAAUAGGUACUGUUUUAGUGGCUGAUGGAAUAGGUGUUACAUAAACAUCACAGUAUCUGGAUGGGCUACAUAUACAUUCAGGUUAUACAAGUUAGGGUAUUGAUUUCCCUAGUGAUGUGGUUGAUUUAGAGUGCUUCUAUGGGCUGUGUUCCUGAUCCUUGAUUAUCAGGUGAUAGUCUGUUCAUACAUCAUCAUGGCCUGGGACAUAUUGAUAUAUACUUGCUAGAUCACCUAUGUGCUUAUAGUUAUUGUAGCUUUGUUGUGGGCUUCAGAUGAUCCAUUGAUCAUCUGAUCACUUGCAGGGUAUAGAGUAUGACUGAUCCUUGACUACUAGCCCUGAUCUACAUUCUGCGCCAUGCCAUCAUGCCCUGAUCAUGAAGCACUGACACUUUGAUUUGUGGGGAAUUAUGACUUUAUCAUUAUUAUAUAUGUUCAAGGUCGGAUGUAAGUAUUUGGCUAAUUAUUAAAGCUUUGACAAAGAGAAUGUACAUGUUUCUUAAUUAUUGCUGUCAGAGUAUAGUUAAUAUUCGUAAUUUUGAUGGGUGAGAGUUGAUUUUUCCUGUUAAGUUGCCAUGAUUUUUCGCCUGAUAAAGCUAACUACAUUUCAAAUCAUUAUUUCAAUCUGUUUGCCCGCUGGCGGGCAAGCCGCGCCUUCCUACCUAGUUGGAUAACAUAAAUGGAGAAAUUGUGAGAAAUGUGGAGAAAGAGCUGUGGGAAAAUGACCCUCGAGAUGUGAAGUGCAAGAAGAGGAGAAUUGGUAAAUCUCAAGGUACCAUGUUGAAUACUGAAGGCGAUGCUGAUCAUUGAUGCUGUACAGGAGCAUAUUCUUCUAGCUAGACAGGUACACUGCUGAAGACUGGGAUCAACUGAAGGUGAUGCUGUCACAUUGUGAUGGUGUUUGAAUUGGAAACAUGGUGAUGAUGUUCACAGAGUACCUAUUGAGAUAUUGUGCUGAACAUCCACUACAUACUAUGUUGACACUGUGUUUACAGUCUGUAACUGAUAUUGGGUGAUAAUUACAGAAUAAAGUGCACUGGAUUAAUGUGUUGGCACUGUGUGCUUAUUCUUGUAUGACAGUACAUAUGUUCAUAUUGUGUGCUUCUUGUA